rnacentral:misc_RNA from 1 species
GAUGAAGAACGCAGCGAAAUGCGAUAAGUAAUGUGAAUUGCAGAAUUGAGUGAAUCAUCGAAUCUUUGAACGCACAUUGCGCCCCUUGGUAUUCCGAGGGGCAUGCCUGUUCGAGCGUCAUUAUAACCCCUCAAGCUCAGCUUGGUGUUGGGGCCUGCUGCACUGGCAGCCCUUAAAAUCAGUGGCGGCGCCAUCUGGCUCUAAGCGUAGUAAUUCUUCUCGCUAUGGAGUCCUGGUGGAUGCUUGCCAUCAACCCCCAAUUUUUCUAUGGUUGACCUCGGAUCAGGUAGGGAUACCCGCUGAACUUAAGCAUAUCAAUAAGCGGAGGA